rnacentral:rRNA from 1 species
AUUGAACGCUAGCGGGAUGCUUUACACAUGCAAGUCGAACGGCAGCGCGGACUUCGGUCUGGCGGCGAGUGGCGAACGGGUGAGUAAUGUAUCGGAACGUGCCCAGUAGCGGGGGAUAACUACGCGAAAGCGUAGCUAAUACCGCAUACGCCCUACGGGGGCAAGCAGGGGAUCGUAAGACCUUGCACUAUUGGAGCGGCCGAUAUCGGAUUAGCUAGUUGGUGAGGUAACGGCUCACCAAGGCGACGAUCCGUAGCUGGUUUGAGAGGACGACCAGCCACACUGGGACUGAGCCACGGCCCAGACUCCUGCGGGAGGCAGCAGUGGGGAAUUUUGGACAAUGGGGGCAACCCUGAUCCAGCCAUCCCGCGUGUGCGAUGAAGGCCUUCGGGUUGUAAAGCACUUUUGGCAGGAAAGAAACGUCGCGGGCUAAUACCCCGUGGAACUGACGGUACCUGCAGAAUAAGCACCGGCUAACUACGUG